UAUACCCUGCUUCCAGGAAAAGCCACUAAGCUUCAGCUGCACACGACCGUACCGCAAACCGACACUGGUGCGCGAGAUGAGUAUUCUAAGGCGCUUGAGAGAACUCUGGAGAAGGAACUCGGCAAAUUGACACCGUAACUUCGGAAGAAGGUGUGCCUUUAGUAGGUGAAGUCGUACAGACGGAGCCCAAUGAGGCCGCAGAGAAUCGGUGGCUGCGACUGUUUAUUAAAAACACAGCACUCUGCAAGGACGAAAGUCGACGUAUAGGGUGUGACGCCUGCCCGGUGCUGGAAGAUUAAAUGAUGGGGUGCAAGCUCUUGAUUGAAGUCCCAGUAAACGGCGGCCGUAACAAUAACGGUCCUAAGGUAGCGAAAUUCCUUGUCGGGUAAGUUCCGACCUGCACGAAUGGCGUAACGAUGGCCACGCUGUCUCCUCCAGAGACUCAGCGAAGUUGAAAUGUUUGUGAUGAUGCAAUCUCCCCGCGGAAAGACGGAAAGACCCCAUGAACCUUUACUGUAGCUUCACAUUGGACUUUGAACAGAUCUGUGUAGGAUAGGUGGGAGGCUUUGAAGCGGUGCCGCUAGGUGUCGUGGAGCCAACCUUGAAAUACCACCCUGGUGUGUUUGGGGUUCUAACCUUGACCCGUUAUCCGGGUUGGGGACAGUGUGUGGUGGGCAGUUUGACUGGGGCGGUCUCCUCCCAAAGUGUAACGGAGGAGUUCGAAGGUACGCUAGGCACGGUCGGAAAUCGUGCUGAUAGUGCAUUGGCAUAAGCGUGCUUGACUGCGAGACGGACAUGUCGAGCAGGUACGAAAGUAGGACAAAGUGAUCCGGUGGUUCUGUAUGGAAGGGCCAUCGCUCAACGGAUAAAAGGUACUCUGGGGAUAACAGGCUGAUACCGCCCAAGAGUUCAUAUCGACGGCGGUGUUUGGCACCUCGAUGUCGGCUCAUCUCAUCCUGGGGCUGUAGCCGGUCCCAAGGGUAUGGCUGUUCGCCAUUUAAAGAGGUACGUGAGCUGGGUUUAAAACGUCGUGAGACAGUUUGGUCCCUAUCUUCCGUGGGCGCUGCAAGAUUGAGAGAGCCUGCUCCUAGUACGAGAGGACCGGAGUGGACGCACCUCUGGAGCAUCGGUUGUCACGCCAGUGGCAUAGCCGAGUAGCUAAGUGCGGAAGAGAUAACCGCUGAAAGCAUCUAAGCGGGAAACUCGUCUCAAGAUGAGUCUUGCCGGGGCCUUGAGCCCCCUGAAGAGUCGUUCGAGACCAGGACGUUGAUAGGCCGGGUGUGGAAGCGCGGUAACGCGUUAAGCUGACCGGUACUAAUUGCUCGUGAGGCUUGACCCU
rnacentral:rRNA from 1 species